UCUGUUUUCAGAGCAGAAGGCUAACCACAGGACAUUCCAGCUGUGACUCAUUGCCACUACUGGCGAGCAUUCUGGCUUGGUCCCGCGAAGGAAAUCAUCCCCGGCAGACCAGAUGGGAAAGCAGUGAAUCAAUGAAUCACUUGUGAAGAGACGGAUGGCCAACAUGAAUCGCUUGCAGCGUGUUGCUAUGACAACCUGCUUCUGUGUGGACACUGAGGCCAUUCCCAAGUGUGGGGUGCGUGGCCCAGAGCAAACCAUACCGUGGGGGACAGCGUAAGCCUGAGCUUCGAGUGAAGUAAGCGGACUAAAAUGUUGGCUGUAUCAUUUAUCCUUUGUGAGAAGUGCCAAAUGCAUCAGUGACGCCAGCUGCAGACAGAAAGCAAGAGGAAACUCAAGUGUCUUAAGAGAUGAACCAUUAAUUAUAUCUCAGCCUUGUCUUCGCCUGGACCAGCCCCAGUCCCAUCCAAUCAUUGGUCCACUUCUGCUGAUUUUACCUCCUCGGUGCUCUCAAAUCCUUCUAUUACAUUCUCCCUUCUCAGCUUGCAAGGAACUGGUGCCCUCUCUCUCUUGCCUGGGCUGCAGCCACCCCCUCACUGGAUCUCCACAGUUACUUUCACCUCCCUUCCAUUUUCCCUUAAAGCCAGAGUCUUUAAAGGCGCCAAUCUGAGCAGGCCGUUUCAGGCUCACACUCCUGAAAGACCUCUUGCUGCUCCAGGGGAGGUCCCUGAAACUCCUCAUGCCCCCUCAGUGCUGGGCUACGCUCACUCGCUCGCUGGCUCACAGGGUCCCGUCCACCCAGAAGCCCCACACUCAGCCUCAGCCACACUGGACUUCCUUCAGUUCUGACAAGGAUUUUCUCCUGGGCUCGACUCUAGCCAGGCCUCUCUGAACCUUCUUCCUGACUAAGCCUCAACCUUGGCCUACAAAAAAUGAGGACUCUGGGCACACGUGCUUUCAUCCACUCACGCCCCCCAUAUUAAAAGACUUAAACACUAACAUGGUUUCUAACAGCUCAAGGUCACAUCCCCAGGAUGACCCCUGCCCCGCUUAAAGUGCCUGCCUGAGAAAAGCUCAAGGCAACCAGAAGAACUGACGGUUUGUUCCAGCCAACACCUGAGGCUGGGCCCCUGACCACCCUUUCAUAGAACACUUACUAAAAAGGGCUUAUAGGUGUGAAUCCUUCCUCUGUCCCUUUGAGAUGUAUGUGUGCCUCCUAGGAUUCAGGAGUACUUUCUCAAGGAUCUGAGAGCCAUGCCUUUGAAAUGUAAUCUUCAGGAAGGAUGGGACCCUGGCUCCCAGUCCAUGUGGGAGGGCAGAAUCCUAAUUCCCAUGGCUGCAGCCAACAGCAUGCUGCAGCUGGCCUGGCCACACUGACACGGACUAACCUUUUGUCAUUUCUCACUUCCCUGAGUGUUCGGGCUGCUGCCCCCUCCCAACUCCCUCAUUCUCCCUUUAAAACGUCCAGUCGCCUCCCUACAAAGCGAAGGGAGUGCGGUUCGUGCUGGAUCCCACUGUAGGAGCACGUGACGGAUUAAACUCUACCUUUGCCACUCGAACUCGCAGCUGCGUUAGCUCUGACAGUUCCUCCAACACAACUUCUCUUUGAACUUGAAUGCACAAGAUCUUACCACAUGAAGAAAAUAAAAGGAUGGCCACUCCAGGUAAAUGGAGCGAGACAACCAUGCCAUUAUUAAGCCUGUGAAGACCAUCUGAACACCAGAUGAAGAAAGAUGACUUUAAAACCAUUGUCAAGUUCAUGUUUGUAAGUUUGAUGUUAUAUCAUACUUCCUUUGAAUACUAGUAAAUAUAACUUUCUAAUGGGUAAACACUAUGGCUGCUAUUUCAAAACUAUCUGUUUUGAAAAACAAAAGGGCUAUUUGGAAAAGUUAUGUUAACCUCAAACAGCCUCAAUCAGUGCUAAUUUUUUUAAAGAACUGGUGAAAAGAAGGUUAAGAAACUUUUACAAGGAUGAAGUUUUCCUAAGACUAUGUCCUUAAAGUUACAAGUGCUGAGGGUUGGAAGUCUUUGUAAGCAAGACUUCAAAAAGGUCAAGAGCUCACGGUUUAUGGGUGCGAGCCUUGUGUCAGGCUCUGCACUGACUGUGCAGAAUCUAUGUGGGAUUCUCUCUCUUUCACUCUCUCUGCUCCUCUUGGGUGUUCUCUCCCUCUUUCUCCCUUUCUCUCUCAAAAUAAAUAAAUAAGCUUAAAAAAACCCAGAAACCCACUAAGUCACUAGGUGGCACAGAGGGAAUGAGGGGAAUUUCAUAAUGUUAGCAGAGUGAGUACUUGUCACUCAAGAAAAGAUUGUUAGUGAAAACAUCAUAUGUGAUUCAAAAGUAUUAUACACAAUGUCGAUGAAUAUAAUGAUGGUAUUUUAGAUGGGCUCAAAAGGGAUUUUAUUAAUGAUGAAAACCUGACGUCAAAAUAUGUCAGUGGCUCCAAAUUGUUUUAUGAAGUGUAAAAGCAGAAACGAUAAUUUCUAAAUUAAUAUAAUAGUUUAUAAGCCAUAAAAUUUUAUAUACGAAUGCAUAGUUACAUUAAUAAAGUAAAACAAGUAGGUCCCUAACGUUUCAAUCUGUAGCCCUAAAAAGCCACAUAUGCAAAUCAGCAAAAAAUCUUUUAUAAAUAAAACAUCUUAUUGUAAAAACAGCAGAUUACCUGAUAUUUUGGGUUGGCUAAUUUUCAAGCAAGUUUCAUUGAAUAGCAUUGUAUACAGAGUUGAAUAAAUGCCACAGGUGGUCAUUAUUGUAACAAAUAGAAAUUUCUGUGUUACCAAAAGAAAAAUGAACUGAAGUGAAGUUUAAAAAUAAAACAAGAAUCAAAUCAUGAUUUCUAGUUAUCGGGCAAAUUCGUUAUUAAAUAAAGCCAUGGCACCCAAACAUUUUCUGAUCUCCUGUUUAUAGGGAACAAAAGUAACAAAAAAUAGAAGUUAUUCUAUUAUGUCUGGGAUUAUUUAAAUAACAUGAGGUCAAUCAGUCCAGCAGUUACAUUGAAAACUAAAAACAUAGGUAAUCCUUUGUGUAUAUAAUUUAGUGGAUUAAAUAUCCUUAGUAUUAAUACGAUGCAGUGAAAGUGACACAAAAUAUACCUGUUCAAAUACCAUGGGUGGUUGGCAUAUCACAGAUGUGUAGGGCAGGGUUGGAGAUUCGGUUC